GAUGAACGCUAGCUACAGGCUUAACACAUGCCAGUCGAGGGGCAGCAUGGUCUUAGCUUGCUAAGGCCGAUGGCGACCGGCGCACGGGUGAGUAACACGUAUCCAACCUGCCGUCUACUCUUGGACAGCCUUCUGAAAGGAAGAUUAAUACAAGAUGGCAUCAUGAGUCCGCAUGUUCACAUGAUUAAAGGUAUUCCGGUAGACGAUGGGGAUGCGUUCCAUUAGAUAGUAGGCGGGGUAACGGCCCACCUAGUCUUCGAUGGAUAGGGGUUCUGAGAGGAAGGUCCCCCACAUUGGAACUGAGACACGGUCCAAACGCCUACGGGAGGCAGCAGUGAGGAAUAUUGGUCAAUGGGCGAGAGCCUGAACCAGCCAAGUAGCGUGAAGGAUGACUGCCCUAUGGGUUGUAAACUUCUUUUAGAAAGGAAUAAAGUCGGGUAUGGAUACCCGUUUGCAUGUACUUUAUGAAUAAGGAUCGGCUAACUCCGUG
rnacentral:rRNA from 1 species